rnacentral:rRNA from 1 species
UACGUAGGGGGCAAGCGUUGUCCGGAAUCAUUGGGCGUAAAGCGCGUGUAGGCGGCUCGGUAAGUCCGCUCUGAAAGUCCAAGGCUCAACCUUGGGAUGCGGGUGGAUACUGCCGAGCUCGAGUCCGGAAGAGGCGAGUGGAAUUCCUGGUGUAGCGGUGAAAUGCGCAGAUAUCAGGAGGAACACCAAUGGCGAAGGCAGCUCGCUGGGACGUGACUGACGCUGAGACGCGAAAGCGUGGGGAGCAAACAGG